rnacentral:rRNA from 1 species
AGCAGAUAUCACCUUAUCCGGGAUCCUCAUAUGGAUAACUGCGGAAAUACUGGAGCUAAUACAUGCAACUAUACCCCAACGCAAGGCGGGGUGCAAUUAUUAGAACAGACCAAACGUUUUCGGACGUUGUUUGUUGACUCUGAAUAAAGCAGUUUACUGUCAGUUUCGACUGACUCUAUCCGGAAAGGGUGUCUGCCCUUUCAACUAGAUGGUAGUUUAUUGGACUACCAUGGUUGUUACGGGUAACGGAGAAUAAGGGUUCGACUCCGGAGAGGGAGCCUUAGAAACGGCUACCACGUCCAAGGAAGGCAGCAGGCGCGAAACUUAUCCACUGUUGAGUAUGAGAUAGUGACUAAAAAUAUAAAGACUCAUCCUUUUGGAUGAGUUAUUUCAAUGAGUUGAAUACAAAUGAUUCUUCGAGUAGCAAGGAGAGGGCAAGUCUGGUGCCAGCAGCCGCGGUAAUUCCAGCUCUCCUAGUGUAUCUCGUUAUUGCUGCGGUUAAAAAGCUCGUAGUUGGAUCUAGGUUACGUGCCGCAGUUCGCAAUUUGCGUCAACUGUGGUCGUGACUUCUAAUUUGCUGGUUUGAGGUUGGGUUCGCCCUUCA